GGGCUUAAGAGUAUAGAGCAAAUAAAGCAAUAUGAUAAGGUGUUUAAGAUUUUUAAGAUGCAGGUUAGACACUUGGCUAGUUACCCCCUCGACAGAGGGGGGUGUCCAGGCCCUAACAAUUUUGUGCCAGCGUUAGCGGUUAUACAAGGGGGCGGUUUUAUAUAAGUGGUUAGUUGCCAAAAUAAUUUAGAGGUGAAAUUUGAGGAGUUGUGUUGGCAUGGGGAGUGUUUAAAUGAUAAGGAUUAGAUACCCUUGUAAUGAAUACAGUUAUCACUGGGGGUUAAAUUUAGUAAUUAUGGCGGUUGGGGUUUAAUAGGGGGGCCUGGGAGUAGAAACUAAACUUGGGUGAGGGAAUCCUAGUUACUUCUUGUGUGAUCGUUCAAACCACUGUUGGUUUGGGGUAGAUAAACAUAGGGGAUAGGGUUUAUUCUGCGGGUUUGAAUUUGCAAUAGGGAGUACCUUCAAGCAACAAACUUAUAAGUAAGGAAAGGAAAUGAAUUUAUUGCCUCAAAGUACAUAUCGCCCGUCAGCGCCUUUAGGGCGUAAGUCGUAACAUAGUGGGCCUACUGGAAGGUGGGUCUUGCUAU
rnacentral:rRNA from 1 species